rnacentral:rRNA from 1 species
GCCACAUGUAGCAUCUGUGGCAAUGGUACGGAGAAUGAAUUCCAUGCGGUUGUCAUGUGCACAAAGAGCAGAGCGCUCCGAUCAGCAAUGAGAGAAGUUUGGAGUCUACCUGAAGAAAAGAGUUUCUGGUAUACAGGUAAUGACUGGCUCCAGGUCCUACUUGAUUCUGUAAACGAGGAGAUCCGUGCUAAGAUCAUGCUGCUAUUCUGGCGGUGCUGGCACUUGAGGGAAGACUGCAUUCGAAGCGACGGAAAGCAGUCA